GUAACGACUUGUUCCCGCCAACGCGGGACGGAGUUAGAAAAUGCGACGUUAUUAUUUUCUAGCUAAUACGCCGACCUCCUAAUUCGUUUAAAGCGAAUGGAGGAAGAUAUAGUCUACACACAUAGUGAUAUGUGA
rnacentral:autocatalytically_spliced_intron from 2 species